AUGUCCUCUCCGGCUGUGGCGAGGAGUCCCCCGGGAGGGAGUCGGGAGGUGGCCCCGGCGCCGCAGGGCGGAGGCCGGUUCUGGGAAGUGGGCGGCGGCAGCGGCCUUCGGCUGGAGCGCGCGCCCGCGGAGUCGGAGCGCUGGGACCUGCUGCUCCGCCGGGGGGAGCUGCUGGCGCUGGGCGGCCACCUGAAGGGCGCGCCGGAGGCGUUCGCGGCGGCGCUGCGCCGCGGGGCCCCGGCCAGGCCCGAGUGCCUGGGCGCCCUGGUGGGACUGCCUGGUGUUCAACUACCGGCUCCGCCACGGGCUGAGCUGGAGCGCGGGGCGCGGACGGCGGCGCCUGCGGGGUCUUCAGAUGCCUGGGCUGCCGGGGCUGCCUGGGCUGCCGGGGCUUCCUGAGCGAGCCAGUGCCGUGCCUUGUGGCCACAGCUACUGCCGCCGCUGCCUGCGGAGGGAACUCCGGGCCCGCUGCCGCCUCUGCCGGGAUCGGCUGCCGCCCCCCACCGCCAGUGCCACUGAUGCUGAAGGGACCGCCCCGCGGCCGCCGCCUCUGGCGGCCGCCAUCGCCGCCUCAGACUUCAGAACCAGCGUCGUCCUCAACCACCUGGCGGAGAAGUGGUUCCCGGGCCAGCGCGAGCGGCCCCGGGCGGCUGGCAGACUCGGGGAGCUGCUGCACCAGGGGCGCUACCGGGAGGCCUUGGCCGCCGCCUGCGAGGCGCUGCGAGCAGAGCCCAGUGACUUGAUUGUAAAAAUGUACAGAGCGGAAUCAUAUGCUGGUCUCCAAGAGUUUAAAGCAGCCAUAGAAGAUUUCAAUGCAGUUCUUUUUCAACUUCCAGAUUGGCCUGAGGCUUACUUCAGGAAAGGAAAAGUACUCUAUGAUGCUGGUUUUUUGGGUGAUGCCUUACAACUCUGUCUUCAGUGCUUAGCCCUUGAUGAAGAUGUUGCACCUGCAAAGCUGCAAGUGCAAAAGAUUUUAUGUGAUUUAUUAUUACCUGAAACCUUAAGAGAAGGCCUGAAGGAAUCUUCCUGGAAUUCAUUACCGUGUACUAAAAACAGACCUUUUGAUUUUCCUUCAGUGAUGGAAGAGUCUCAGUCUCCCAGUGAGCCUAGCCCAAAGCAGAGUGAAGAAAUACCAGAGGUCACUUCAGAGCCCGUCAAAGGAAGCUUAAACCGUGCUCAGUCAGCACAGUCUAUCCAUUCCACAGAAACGCCUGCCAGAGAGGACCGUUUAAAAAGAGUGUCCUCAGAACCUGUUCUGUCUGUUCAAGAAAAAGGUGUUCUGCUGAAAAGAAAGUUGUCUCUUUUAGAACAGGAUGUGAUUGUAAAUGAAGGUGGAAGAAAUAAGCUUAAAAAACAAGGAGAAACUCCCAAUGAAGUCUGUAUGUUUUCCUUGGCUUAUGGUGAUAUUCCAGAAGAAUGAAUCGAUGUCUCGGAUUUCCAAUGUUCUGUCUGCGUGAGGUGGUUUUUUGAGCCAGUAACAACCCCUUGCGGACAUUUAUUCUGUAAGAAUUGUCUUGAGCGUUGUUUAGAUCAUGCACCACAUUGUCCUCUUUGCAAAGAAAGCUUAAAAGAGUAUCUAGCAGAUAGGAGGUACUGUGUCACACAGCUGUUGCAAGAAUUAAUAGUGAAGUAUCUGCCUGAUGAACUGUCUGAGAGAAAAAAAAUAUAUGAUGAAGAAACUGCUGAACUCUCACACGUGACCAAGAAUGUUCCAAUAUUUGUUUGUACUAUGGCCUACCCCACUGUGCCUUGCCCUCUCCGUGUAUUUGAGCCAAGAUAUAGAUUGAUGAUUCGAAGAAGUAUACAGACUGGAACCAAACGGUUUGGCAUUGUGUGUCAGUGAUACACAAAAUAGUUUUGCAGAUUAUGGUUGUAUGUUGCAAAUGAGAAACGUGCAUUUCUUACCUGACGGAAGGUCUGUGGUUGAUACAGUUGGAGGAAAGCGGUUUAGGGUUUUAAAAAGAGGAAUGAAAGAUGGAUAUUGCACUGCCGACAUUGAAUAUCUGGAAAAUGUUAAGGUUGAGAAUGAAGAUGAGAGUAAGAAUCUCAGAGAGCUUCAUGAUUUGGUUUACUCUCAAGCCUGCAGCUGGUUUCAGAAUUUAAGAGACAGAUUUCGAAGCCAAAUUCUUCAGCACUUUGGAUCAAUGCCCGAGAGGGAGAAAAACCUUCAGGCAAUCCCUAAUGGACCCACAUGGUGUUGGUGGCUUCUUGCAGUUCUCCCUGUAGAUCCACGAUACCAGCUGUCAGUUUUGUCAAUGAAGUCUUUGAAAGAACGGUUGACAAAGAUACAGCAUAUACUGACCUAU